GUGGGGAAUAUUGGACAAUGGGCGCAAGCCUGAUCCAGCCAUGCCGCGUGAGUGAUGAAGGCCUUAGGGUUGUAAAGCUCUUUCAGUGGGGACGAUAAUGACGGUACCCACAGAAGAAGCCCCGGCUAACUUCGUGCCAGCAGCCGCGGUAAUACGAAGGGGGCUAGCGUUGUUCGGAUUUACUGGGCGUAAAGCGCACGUAGGCGGAUCGUUAAGUCGGGGGUGAAAUCCUGGAGCUCAACUCCAGAACUGCGUUCGAAACUGGCGAUCUUGAGUCCGGAAGAGGUGAGUGGAACUCCGAGUGUAGAGGUGGAAUUCGUAGAUAUUAGGAAGAACACCAGUGGCGAAGGCGGCUCACUGGUCCGGUACUGACGCUGAGGUGCGAAAGCGUGGGGAGCAAACAGGAUUAGAAACCCGAGUAGUCC
rnacentral:rRNA from 1 species